GGUGGGCACUCUAAGGUGACUGCCGGUGACAAACCGGAGGAAGGUGGGGAUGACGUCAAAUCAUCAUGCCCCUUAUGACCUGGGCUACACACGUACUACAAUGGCCGGUACAACGGGCAGUGAAACCGCGAGGUGGAACGAAUCCUAAAAAGCCGGUCUCAGUUCGGAUUGCAGGCUGCAACUCGCCUGCAUGAAGUCGGAAUUGCUAGUAAUCGCGGAUCAGC
rnacentral:rRNA from 1 species